AAAUGCGAUAAGUAGUGUGAAUUGCAGAAUUCAGUGAAUCAUCGAAUCUUUGAACGCACAUUGCGCCCUUUGGUAUUCCUUAGGGCAUGCCUGUUCGAGCGUCAUUUAAACCUUCAAGCUCAGCUUGGUGAUGGGUGACUGUCCUCCCCUCGCGGGGGGGACUCGCCUCAAAAACAUUGGCGGCCGGUACAUUGGCUUCGAGCGCAGCAGAAACGCGGUCUCGAGUCCGGUGGAUCGGCUCCCAUAAGCCUUCUUUUUUAUUUUGACCUCGGAUCAGGUAGGGAUACCCGCUGAACUUAAGC
rnacentral:misc_RNA from 1 species